rnacentral:rRNA from 1 species
CAGCCGCCGCGGUAAUACGAAGGGUGCAAGCGUUAAUCGGAAUUACUGGGCGUAAAGCGUGCGUAGGCGGUUUGUUAAGUCUGCUGUGAAAUCCCCGGGCUCAACCUGGGAAUGGCAGUGGAUACUGGCAAGCUAGAGUGUGUCAGAGGAUGGUGGAAUUCCCGGUGUAGCGGUGAAAUGCGUAGAGAUCGGGAGGAACAUCAGUGGCGAAGGCGGCCAUCUGGGACAACACUGACGCUGAGGCACGAAAGCGUGGGGAGCAAACAGGAUUAGAUACCCCCGUAGUCCCUGUCUCUUAUAC